GUGGGGAAUUUUGGACAAUGGGCGCAAGCCUGAUCCAGCAAUGCCGCGUGCAGGAAGAAGGCCUUCGGGUUGUAAACUGCUUUUGUACGGAACGAAACGGUCCUGGUUAAUACCUGGGGCUAAUGACGGUACCGUAAGAAUAAGCACCGGCUAACUACGUGCCAGCAGCCGCGGUAAUACGUAGGGUGCAAGCGUUAAUCGGAAUUACUGGGCGUAAAGCGUUCGCAGGCGGUUUUGUAAGACAGGCGUGAAAUCCCCGGGCUCAACCUGGGAAUUGCGCUUGUGACUGCAAGGCUGGAGUGCGGCAGAGGGGGAUGGAAUUCCGCGUGUAGCAGUGAAAUGCGUAGAUAUGCGGAGGAACACCGAUGGCGAAGGCAAUCCCCUGGGCCUGCACUGACGCUCAUGCACGAAAGCGUGGGGAGCAAACAGGAUUAGAAACCCGUGUAGUCC
rnacentral:rRNA from 1 species